CAGAGGCUGUGAUGUCACAGAAGCACAGAACGCCCUGGCCUCAGAGAGCCCUGAGAGAAUGUUGAGUCCAACCUGUGAGCCAUGGCGGCAAGCAUGGCCAGCAGAGCGGGGCCCGAGCGCUGCGGCCUGGCUUGCCUUGCCCACCUGCCACAAGGAUGACUCCAGCAGCCCCCUGUCAGGCCAUUGCAGGAUCUAAUGGCCCUUUCUGGGCACAAGUUCUUGCCAACGCCCAGCGUAAACCUCCCUUGGCACAGCUUCAAAGCCUUGUUGGCAUCUGCUCUCUCUUGUCCUUGCCCAUCUGGCUGGCGCUGCCGUGUUGCUCACUGGCCUGUCUGUGGGAGAAGAGGCUGUGCCAAUGAGUGCUGCUCAACUUUGAGGCCAUUCAAAGGAGGAUUUGAUUGUGCCUGCUGUGGGAAGGAAGAUGCGUGCACAUGGCCACUUCCCAUAGGUUUUACCGCAGAUUUUCAUCAACAGCUGUCCUACUGAAAGUAAAGUCUGUUUUAGAAUUGCUUCUGUGUUACUUCACAUCAUCCAUUAAAAAUUUGAUGUCUGGAAAAAG